rnacentral:rRNA from 1 species
AAUUGGACGGGGCCCGCACAAGCGGUGGAGCAUGUGGUUUAAUUCGAAGCAACGCGAAGACCUUACCAGGUCUUGACAUCCCGAUGCUAUUUCUAGAGAUAGAAAGUUACUUCGGUACAUCGGUGACAGGUGGUGCAUGGUUGUCGUCAGCUCGUGUCGUGAGAUGUUGGGUUAAGUCCCGCAACGAGCGCAACCCUCGUCCUAUGUUGCCAGCGGGUCAUGCCGGGGACUCAUGGGAGACUGCCGGGGUCAACUCGGAGGAAGGUGGGGAUGACGUCAAAUCAUCAUGCCCCUUAUGUCUUGGGCUUCACGCAUGCUACAAUGGCCGGUACAAAGGGCUGCGAUACCGCGAGGUGGAGCGAAUCCCAGAAAGCCGGUCUCAGUUCGGAUUGGGGUCUGCAACUCGACCCCAUGAAGUCGGAGUCGCUAGUAAUCGUGGAUCAGAAUGUCACGGUGAAUACGUUCCCGGGUCUU